rnacentral:snoRNA from 1 species
AUGUCUCAAUCUUACACAGUGAAUAUGAUGAUUCUGAGUGCAUUUGGCUCGAGACUUUCUGUCGGUGUGGAAAAAACCAAGCUACCUUAUUUUUCUUUGUCUGAUA